GCCAGAAUGGGGACUGGAAGAUCACGGAGCGGCGUGGAGCAGGCGAUAUGGUCGUGAUGUGGUCUCAAGGUCUGAUGUUUUAUAGUCGCUCCAGUUAUGGGAUGAAAUGACCGCUGAACUCUCAAACUGAUCCUCCAGCAUCUCUGCUUUUUCUGUCGUUGGAUCAACACCAGUAGGUGGUUCCUCCGUAUAGCUUUGGUUCACCAGUAAAACUUGUAUGGAGAUGUUUCUUGAAUGGGCAGAGAAUGGUCUGGAACCCUCGAUGUAUCCACUACAUACAGACGCCUACCCACUGAGGAAGAGAACUGUCUAUGAUACUGUGGUUUUCCACAAUACGACAUGUCUAUUAAUAAUAAUAAUAAUAAUAAUAAUCUUUAGUUAUAUUGUGCUGACAUAUUUUGCAGCACUUUAAAAAUCAGUCUUAUAGUAUUAUGGAAGUGAAUGUCUCUGUUAAGCUUGUACUCUGUUGCAUUGAGACAAUAUAAUAAAUAUGUUAAGUUCAAGAGCCUCAAAUGGUGCAUAGUAACUAUCAGGACCAUGUACAUUAAACCAUAUUGUAGAAAAUACAGGAGUCACAGACAAGAUCAAGAA